CCGCUAUUGGAGUCCGAUUAAGACAUGCGAGUCGAGAGCUUUCGGAGCUCGGCAUACUGCUCAGUAACACGUGGGUAACCUGCCCUAUGCUGGGGGAUAACCUCGGGAAACUGAGAACAAUACCCCAUAGUCCACUACGCCUGGAACGGUGAGUGGAUGAAAGCCCCGGCGGCAUAGGAUGGGCCUGCGGCGUACCAGGUUGUAGGGGGUGUAAUGUACCCUCUAGCCCUCGACGCGUACGGGUUGUGAGAGCAAUAGCCCGGAGAUGGAUUCUGAGACAAGAAUCCAGGUCCUACGGGACGCAGCAGUCGCGAAACCUUGACAAUGCGGGAAACCGUGAUCAGGGGACUCCAAGUGCCAGGAGUAAGAUCCUGUGCUUUUCAUCUCUCUUCAAAGGAUUUGGAAUAAGAGGUGGGUAAGGACGGUGCCAGCCGCCGCGGUAAUACCGGCGCCUCAAGUGGUAGUCGAUUUUAUUGGGCCUAAAACGUCCGUCGCCGGUCUGGUGCAUUCGUGGGUAAAUCAACCCGCUCAACGGGUUGAAUUCUGCGAGCACGGCCAGACUAGGGACCGGGAGAGGUGUAGGGUACGCUCGGGGUAGGGGUAAAAUCCUGUCAUCCCGAGCGGACCACCUGUUGCGAAGGCGCUACACUAGAACGGAUCCGACGGUCAGGGACGAAGCCUAGGGGCACGAACCGGAUUAGAUACCCGGGUAGUCCUAGGUGUAAACGCUGUGGACUUGGUGUUGGAAGCUCCCAGAGGGCUUUCAGUGCCGUAGCGAAGGUGAUAAGUCCACUGCCUGGGGAGUACGGUCGCAAGGCUGAAACUUAAAGGAAUUGGCGGGGGAACACCGCAACCUGAGGAUUGUGCGG
rnacentral:rRNA from 1 species